rnacentral:rRNA from 1 species
AGAACGAACGCUGGCGGCAUGCCUAACACAUGCAAGUCGAACGCUUCCGGGGCUUCGGUCGCGGAGGAGUGGCGCACGGGUGAGUAGCGCGUGGGAACCUGCCCUGUUGUGGGGGAUAACCGAGGGAAACUUCGGCUAAUACCGCAUACGCCCCGGGACUUGGUCUUCGGAUUAGGUCUGGGGGGAAAGAUUGAUCGCAGCAGGAGGGGCCCGCGUCGGAUUAGCUGGUUGGUGGGGUAACGCUCACCAAGGCGAUGAUCCGUAGCUGGUCUGAGAGGAUGAUCAGCCACACUGGGACUGAGACACGGCCCAGACUCCUACGGGAGGCAGCAGUGGGGGAAUAUUGGACAAUGGGGGCAACCCUGAUCCAGCAAUGCCGCGUGAGUGAUGAAGGCCUUAGGUUGUAAAGCUCUUUCGCCCGCGACGAUGAUGACGGUAGCGGGAGAAGAAGCCCCGGCUAACUUCGCGCAGCAGCCGCGGU